CGCGCUUCAGGGUACGCUCAUCAAUGUUCUCGGCGACCACCAAUGGAGGGGCGCACGCAAAACAGGCUGUUUCGCCGGGACGUAUGAACUGCAGCAUUGAUGGCCAUGCGAGCCUCAAAGUUGUCGACGCAACUGAGCACCAGAUCGACAGGCUGGCCCUUCUGGAGCCCGGACUCUGAGAUUGUGGUCAGGAACUUAUCAAAGUUUUCGACAGUGGUAAUAUUAUAGUUGUGCGUCUCAAUGACAACGUCUGGAUUGAUGAAGCUCAGUGUGCGCGCUGCUGCCUCCACCUUGGACAGGCCGGCCUGGUCGGGCGUGAAGAACAGUCGAUUCAUAUUGGCCAGUUCCACCUUGUCGUAGUCGAAGAGAAUUAGCUUGCCAAUGCCACAGCUGUCAACGAAAAUGUUACUUCUUGUUGCCUUAAUUAAAUUUGCAUUUCCAUUUGGCUUACCGUGUCAACAUAUCGGCUGUCACGCUGCCCACGCCUCCGACGCCCACAAUCGCCACCGCCUUAUCACGUAUGCGCUCAUAGUCUUUGACAAUGUUCAUGCGCUGCAGCGCCAUGAGACGGCUGUAGGGAUUGGAGUCAACAACUUCGGCGGACAUACGCUCGAUGCGUUCGCGUGCAAUGCGCGUUGAAGUCUUUUGCUCUUCAAGCUCUGUUUUCAGCUCGGCAAUGAUUGCCUGCAGUUCAUCAAUGGCGGUGGACAUCUUCGAAACGGAAUGGAAUGGACUCCACAAAAGAAGAAAACAAAACCAACGCUAGCCCCAAAAUCCUAAUAACAAUUGAGGGCUGUCGUCGUGUCACUUUCGCUGGAACAGCUGUGCGGCGUUGCCAGAUGUCUUGCACAUCUAACAAUUACUAUCGAUAACGCUAACGCUUUAGAGCUGGGCUUCAGCCGUGAAGCACGAAAUAUGUAAAAAUAUAAUUUUGGAGCAUGAGAUUCUUAAUUAAAAAAUUUUGUGAGUGCAAUUAUAAGACUUAUUUGCAAUA